CCGGCUUAUUAAUUUGGAUUUUCGGGUCGGGAGUAUGGGUUUCAGUUUCCUAAUCUCUCUUUUCUUUCACUCUUUCCUUUUCUCUUCAAACCCUAGAUCCAUUCAAUAUUUCUGGCCGUCACGCUCACAGGCGAUUUCACAUCUCUGUAAUCGGAAUCCAUUCAUACGCUUCUUCCUUCUUUGGUGAUUCUUCAGUUUUAUGCACACCCGAAAAUGGUUGCCGCUGAUGUUGAGUACAAAAGUUUAGAUUUUGGUUGCCGCUGAUUUCAAAACAAAUGUUGAGUACAAACGAUUCGUCACGCUCACAGCCGAAAAUGGUUGCCGCUGAUUUUAAUUUUUCGGUUUUUUAGAUUUCAUUUUGAUUUGCUAAGAUUAAACCCAAAUGCUUUCGAUUUUGGUUUCAGUUUUUUUUUUCGCACAGAAACCUUUCGAUACUCUGUUCUUCAAUGUUUUAUUGGAAACUUUCGGAAUUGAUCAAUCCGGUUCAAACGAUGAUCGAGUAUGACGUUUUGGUUUCGGUUUCGGUUUAAUGAUAUCGAUUGAAAGAUUCAGAUUUUUCUUUGUUUUGGAUUUUGAAUUUUGUCUUGAAGGUGGAAUUGAUCAAUCUGGUUCAAUCGAUGAUCAAAAUUUAAUCUUCCAAUUAAAAGAAAAAACAAUUUAUGGGAAAGCUUGGGAAGAAAUUAUGCUUUGUAGUUUGCCCUAUUCGUCUUCACGUCCUUCGUAUACGCCAAGGGUUUCACGAAAUUCGGACAAAAAUUAAGCAUAGCCAACAAAAUUUGAUCAUAGAAUCGAUCAGUAGGCUGGUGUUGAUAAUAAGACCUUUUUUUUCUAUUGACAUGAGGCUGUGAUGAACAUGUAUAUGUGAUUCAGAUCGGGGUGCCGCUUAAACUUUCACGUGGCAAAUUGGAUGGAUGGCAGGUGCUCACCUGCAACCUCCAAUGCAGCCAUGUUGGGUCUAUGAUUUUUCAAUUAUACGCAUAUGAAUGCAAUCUGAGAAUUGAAUAACUUAUACCUUCUCACUUUGAUAUCCAGGUAAUAUUGUGUUUAGGUGUAGAUAAUAAGUCCUAAUUUUGUAUUAAAUUAGUAUUUAAUACUUUUGGAUUAGCUUUUAUGGUUAUGUUUUCUGUUUCAGCAUCAUAUUAGGGACCAAAAUGGAAGCAAAUUUUUUAUUUCUUUCUAAAAAACAACUAAUAGACUUUUGGGCUGUUUAGCGUCACUCUGCAAACGCCAAGUCAUGAGGUGCAUUUGUAGCCUCGAAACCAAUUGAAUUCACUGGCACUUCACUUUCUUUUGUUUUCAAUUUUUUUUAUUUUUUUACUGUUAUUUAAAAAAACUUAAAAAGAAUACCAACAAAGCUUAUUCGUUCUGGUUAUAUAUAUAUUACGACUAUAUUUUUUUCUCUCUUUCGAACGCAUCGAACCCGACCGGUUUCCACCUGCCUUACAUUCUGUUUCAGCAUCAAUCAAUGAAGCUUUCUUUCAAUAUAAAGGUUGUUGAAAUUGUGAUCAAAACUAAAUAGAUCAGAUGUAACUUAUCAAUGUCUGAAGUGAGCUCAUGAAUAACGUCCAUUAAUGAUCAAGGUAAUACACAUACAUGAAAAUUUGUUCAUCCACUUCUUCCUUCUCUGCUAAAACCACCAUUCUCCGCUUGAUUAAUUGGUGAAUCAGGUAAGAAAUCCUUCGGUCCUUAUUUUAUGAUGUAUAGAUGUGGCAUCGGUGCGUUGCAAGAGUUUGGGUUGUAAUUGGGAGUUUAUGUAUAUGAGUUAAGGUUAAAUCUUCAGUAUGAAGUCUGAGAUUUGUAAAUCACCGACAUGAAAUUCCUUUUUAUAUAUGAAUGGGUCAAUUUGAGUUGCAAUUUUAUCUAAGUUUUACCAAAAGUGUCAAAUAAUUUUUUUAAUAUGUCAAAUAAAUCAUAUAGUUUUUAUUACAUUCCAAUUCUCAAUUUGCUAUACAUAUACUUUCUGAUAAAUCAGUUGUUAACGAACUGUUGAUUCUGUAAUGUUUUACACUCAUGGAUUGACAGGCUAAAAAGAAUAGAAACCAAUUUGAUAUAUCAGAGUUUCGAGCUCAGCUUGAUGCAUUGGGUUUGAAAAUUAUAGACGUUACAUCAGACGGAAAUUGCUUUUUCAGGUUUUGAACAUGCCUCUCUGGACUCAUCUAUAUCUUUUUUUAAAGAUUAAUUGGUAGGACCUGCUCCCUCUCAUCGAUAUCCGUGAUGGAUAUCUUGAAAUCACUUUCUUAUUUAAAGACCGGAUUUAUGGUUGAGCUAAAUGGUAUAGUCUCAUUUAGGAAUACUUGGUACCUCAAGAAUACAUCAAUACAUUGAUGGAGUCAAUGUUGAAUAGAUGUCCGACAUCUUCCUUUGUUUUUUAUAGUAUUAAUCUAAAUUUGUUUCAUUUGAAAGAUAUAAUUUUGACUCGGUGGUGGGUCAAACUCAAGAAGCAGUGGCACAACAUGAAUAAAACAGACCAAGGGUGCCGCUUUCUCUGACGUAGAGAGAUUCAAAGAUAACUAACUGUUGUUAUCUGCGGACGGCAGCAACGCUGACUAUGUGUUCCGGUUCAGUGAAGGCAGCCUAGCGGAGUUACGGUUUGGUAAGAGAUGAUGUCGGCUGGAAGUUUUAGGAUUCUGAUGAUGUCUGGUUAACUCCGGUGACCUGAACCAGUUUGGCUGCGAUUUCGACAACAUCAAUCUGAAUAAGUAUUUGAAUCAGGCACCUUUGAUACAACACAUAUGUGUUGCCGGCGAUUGUUAGUUGUUUUGAAGUUUUUGUUAAGGUAUUGAAAUAGUCUUUGUUUUGAAUCUUUUGCAAACAUAUUUCAGAAUUUUGCAGUUAAAAAGUGACGAUGGCAGCCUAGAGGGGUUAAAGUUUGGUAAGAAAUGAUGGCGGCUGGAAGUUUUAGGAUUCUAACGAAGUCUGUUUAACUCCGAUGAGAACUCGGUGACCUGAACCAGGGUUACGCAUGAAGGAGAGGAAGAAGAAAGAUGAACUGUUAAGUUGAAAAGAGGGGUGGAUAUCGUUGUCGGAGCAGUCGGUCGUGUUAAGGAUCACAUUGAGAGAGUGAAUCUUGACUUAUGCUCAUUGAAAUUCCGUAUCCUUGAUGAAGCUCAUGAAAUGUUGAGGCAAGGUCUUACAUCAAAGGGUGCAAGAUUUUCCAACCAUAACUCUGGAAGGCAUUCUGGAUCAAGACAGUGAUUUUUUGCGACAUAUACCUGGUGUGAUGACCCCAACAGAAGAAAUUUUUAUCCUGUAUAAAUGGCGAACUACAGGACAGCUUGCGGCAACUCCGCCAUUCCGGUACUCGAACCUGUUCGCUCUCAUAAUCUGGCAGGGAACGUACCGAUGGUGUUGGUUUGUUCAUUUGACGGCCGAUCCGAUGUAGAUGUAUGUGUACUCAUUGGAAGAUUCAUUGGAUUUGAGUUCUUAACGACUCAUUUAAGACUACAACGAUCGCAGUUUUGGUUACGAAUCGAGAUGAAACAUAUAUCAUCGACUGGAAAAUAGCAGAGCCCAUCUGAGAUGAACCAUAAACCAUCGACUAAAAAGGAAGAGUGCCCAAAUGAUACGUUGACAUGGGAGGCGGUUCCAUCCUUGCUUACUUCAGCUCCCCCGACAGAGGAGGUGUUGCCGAUUGUGUAGCUUUUAACUUUUUCAUAGACCCGCUUGGCGAUUCCACACUUCCCUUCUUAUUAACACCUUUGAGCUUUUCUUGGUAAGUGACACAUUAAUUUUCGAGUAAACCGCCAAAACUAAACCGUGAACUAAACUAAUAAAUCUCAAAUUGGCUACUUAAGUCAUGUUGAAUGUAUGUUUUGUCAGAUAGUGGUUUAUAGAUUCUUGUGAUUAUGAUUUUUGGGAUGGAUUUGUUUGAAUUAAGUUGUGGAUCUAUGAUUUCUGAAGAUGCAGAGGUGGCGUGUAGAUAGUGUGGUCCUCAUGUCUGCUUUUAUUUUAAAGAUGUGAAGGUCAACAUAUUUAAUUUCCAUGUUUGACCAAGAAUUCUUAACUCAAAUGUGUUGUAAAAACAUGGACAUUUUGGUUGUAAUUUCGUGCACCAUCAGUCAUGUCUUUUGCUCUA